UGCAGAGGUCUCCGGAGAGUGGAUUGACUUGGGGUGAGUCCAGACGGAAAUUCCAUUAUGCACAGAAAUUGGAUUUAUUCAGUUUUGACCACUCAGUACCCAUUCAAGCAGCUAUCCCCUGCAGGCUGUGCCGGGACAGAGAAAGGAAGAUUUCAGGAUGUUUGGAGAGGAGUGAACAACUACAGCAAUUAGAGAGAGAGGCUGAUAAAGAGAAGAGGUGUUUGUGAGUGAUUCUAGCAUGCAAGGAUGGUUUGUGAUCAGCCAACACAUCAUAUCAGGCAGGCAUAUCAGUUCCAGCUGUGAGACAGUGAGCUGGAAGACAAACGUGUUGAUGGGCAAAUUCUCUCGCUCUAUCUGUCUUUAUAUAGCAAGGUGAUUCCAUUAAAGCGAGCACACUUGCAUCCAUCAAAAUGGCACAAACAUACAUACAAGAUUGUUUAAUAUUUUGAUAAAGACUCAUAAUGAAUGUUAACUUUCCACAAAUGUACUAUGGUAACCUUAAUUUUCAGCAAAAUAUUAUUAGUUAUUUAAAAAAAAAAAAGUUACUACAGUUAUUUUUACUUGAGCAAGAACGUGUUAACUUGGUAUU
ensembl:lncRNA